rnacentral:rRNA from 1 species
UACGUAGGGUGCGAGCGUUAAUCGGAAUUACUGGGCGUAAAGUGUGCGCAGGCGGCUGCGCAAGUCGAGUGUGAAAGCCCCGGGCUUAACUUGGGAAUUGCGCUCGAAACUACGUGGCUGGAGUGUGGCAGAGGAAGGUGGAAUUCCAGGUGUAGCGGUGAAAUGCGUAGAGAUCUGGAGGAACACCGAUGGCGAAGGCAGCCUUCUGGGCCAACACUGACGCUCAUGCACGAAAGCGUGGGGAGCAAACAGG